UACGUAGGGUGCAAGCGUUAAUCGGAAUACUGGGCGUAAAGCGUGCGCAGGCGGUUUUGUAAGUCUGUUGUGAAAUCCCCGGGCUCAACCUGGGAAUGGCAAUGGAGACUGCAAGGCUUGAAUCUGGCAGAGGGGGGUAGAAUUCCACGUGUAGCAGUGAAAUGCGUAGAGAUGUGGAGGAACACCGAUGGCGAAGGCAGCCCCCUGGGCCAGCACUGACGCUCAUGCACGAAAGCGUGGGGAGCAAACAGG
rnacentral:rRNA from 1 species